UAAGCUCGACACACACGUCUCUAAAUUUGCAAUUAAGUAUUGCACAUUGCUUAAAAAAGAUGAUUCAAAAUAUUUUAUCUAUUCAUUUACUACUUCUGAUGACAACUUUUUGCAUUGCCUUUCCAGAGGAUAUUCAGAAAUGUCAUUUUGGAGCUUCGAAAUGUCUGGUUGAUUCAAUGAAUUACGUCAUAAAACAUUAUUCGAAAGGAUUACCACAAAUUGGACUUAAUCCAAUUGAUGUCGUCGACAUUGGCGAUAUGAAUCUCGUGCGAACUCGCGAAAAUGGAGGACUCUGGGUAGUGGUAAACAUAACUAAGGCACUUAACCAUGGAUUUGAGAAUACGACCAUUACAAAAGUGGAAGGAUUCGACAAGGAUCCCACUAAGAAAUACCUCACGAUCUGGGGUCGAAUACCUCGUUUAAUUCACAAAGGUCACUUCACUGCGAGAGGUCAUCUCUCGGUUAUUCCAAUAAAUCUUUCUGGAGACUCUGCAUCAGAAUUUCAAAAUCUCAAAUUCAAACUUAAACUGAAAGGACAAAUAGAAUUUAGAAAUAAUAAACGUUAUCUGAAGCUCUACCAAGUACUUCCCAUUGUCAAAAUAGAUAGAUGGAUAGUACGUAUGGAAGAUCUAUUUAGAGAGAACACCGAUUUAACAAUAAUUGUGAAUAAAUUAUUUAAUGAACGCUGGCUGGAGAUUUGGAACGAAUGGGAACCAGUGGUGUUGGAAUCAUUUUCAAAAGUCUUUCUCAGCCUGGUUCAAGAUACAUUCAAUAAGAUUUCAUAUGACGACAUGUUUCUGCCUGAUUUAUUUUACUACAAUUAGUUGUAAACAUUAUUUUAAUAUGUAAAGAUAUUUACUAACAAUAGAAUCCGGUUAUAUCUACUUAAGCAUUACGAUUAUUUUUAUUGCUAUUCCACAUAAAUAUUUGAAUGAAUUUAUUUAAUCAAUGCAGGAAUACUUGUUUUAUGCACUCGUAAUUGCAUUUGUGCUCUCUUCCGCUCUCAGUCUGACAAAUAUUAUAUUAAAUACAGUGAAUCCCCUAUACUGUAAUGCCAGUAUUAAAGCUGUUUAACAAGUUCUAGACUUAAGUCGAUUUUAGUAGUUCAUUGCUAUUGUGAGCUUAGUAUAAAAGAAGCUUCUAAGUUUGAUGUGUGUAGAAUUUGAGAAAAUAUUCAAAUAAACAAAAAUGAUUCCAAUAUGCUUAGCAUUUAAUUUACUUCUAAUGGCAACUUCAUGCCUAUCUAUAUCUUUACCUGAGGAAAUCAAUAAAUGUCACUUUGGAGCUGAGAAAUGCAUUAUCGAUUCAAUGAAUCACGUUAUAAAAAAGUAUCCCAAAG